UUUUUUUAACCACUCUUUCUUCUCUGUUUCCUGACAUCACUUUUGUCUCUGUCUCCUUUUUUUUUAAUUUGUUUUUGUAUUUUCACCUUCCCUUACCUUCCAUUCAUUCUCUGUCUUUCACUGUUGUCUGUGUUUUCUUUUUACUUUCCAACUUCAAUUCUGGGUUACUUACUGCUGUGGGGUAGUAGUAGUAGGAGUAGUAGUAGUAGUAGUACUAGUCCUUUUUCUUUUGUUUUGUUGACAUCUCCACAGUGGUAGUUGAGGAUCUAUGCAUGCAUCA
rnacentral:lncRNA from 1 species